rnacentral:rRNA from 1 species
CACGUAGGGCGCAAGCGUUGUCCGGAAUUAUUGGGCGUAAAGAGCUCGUAGGCGGUCUGUUGCGUCUGCUGUGAAAACUCGGGGCUUAACCCCGAGCCUGCAGUGGAUACGGGCAGACUAGAGUUCGGUAGGGGAGUCUGGAAUUCCUGGUGUAGCGGUGAAAUGCGCAGAUAUCGGGAAGAACACCCAUGGCGAAGGCAGCUCUCUGGGACGGUACUGACGCUGAGACGCGAAAGCGUGGGGAGCGAACAGG